UAACGCGUAGGAAUCUGUCCUUGGGUGGGGGAUAACAGUGGGAAACUACUGCUAAUACCGCAUGACAACUGAGGUUUAAAGGCGCGAGUCGCCUGGGGAGGAGCCUGCGUUCGAUUAGCUAGUUGGUGGGGUAAAGGCCUACCAAGGCUACGAUCGAUAGCUGGUCUGAGAGGAUGAUCAGCCACACUGGGACUGAGACACGGCCCAGACUCCUACGGGAGGCAGCAGUGGGGAAUAUUGGACAAUGGGCGCAAGCCUGAUCCAGCAAUGCCGCGUGGGUGAAGAAGGUUUUCGGAUUGUAAAGCCCUUUUGGCAGGGACGAUGAUGACGGUACCUGCAGAAUAAGCCCCGGCUAACUUCGUGCCAGCAGCCGCGGUAAUACGAAGGGGGCUAGCGUUGCUCGGAAUGACUGGGCGUAAAGGGCGCGUAGGCGGCGAUCAAAGUCAGGCGUGAAAUUCCUGGGCUCAACCUGGGGGCUGCGCUUGAUACUUGGUUGCUUGAGUGGGGAAGAGGGUCGUGGAAUUCCCAGUGUAGAGGUGAAAUUCGUAGAUAUUGGGAAGAACACCGGUGGCGAAGGCGGCGACCUGGUCCUUUACUGACGCUGAGGCGCGAAAGCGUGGGGAGCAAACAGGAUUAGAUACCCUGGUAGUCCACGCCGUAAACGAUGUGCGCUGGAUGUUGGGUGACUUAGUCACUCAGUGUCGUAGCUAACGCGAUAAGCGCACCGCCUGGGGAGUACGGCCGCAAGG
rnacentral:rRNA from 1 species